CUGGAGAAUUGAAGGCAGAACCUCUCCUGCUUGCAAGGCAAGCCUCGCCCUGUGAAUGCGGCUGCAUCUCUUCAGACUUAAUCAACAUUUCUGGACUGGAGGCGGUGUGGUGCUGGGUGAACCCAGGAGGACAUUUGCACGUGAAACCACCAAUGGUGUUCACACACAGGAACUGGCAGUUGUGCUGCUUGGUUGCACACUCAUCAAGAUCUGCAAGAAAAAAUGGCGUUGCGCUGAGCGGACGACACAGGUCCAGAGAAGCGGCCCUUAGCCAGCUGGGCCACGUCUCCAGCAACCCUGGCCAGAACAGAGCCCGCGAAUGGUACCCUUAUGCACAGGACAUCUGAGAAAACCUCCUAUGGCCGUCUCAGUGCUCGCUUCCCUGAAGAUGGAGCCUGUCCUCUAUUGUUCCCUGCUGACAAGCUGACUGAUGUUCUACCCUGAGUCCGUGACUAACUUCCCCUCUCCAGGACCCUAGAAGCUUUGCUAUAGCAUCUUCAUAUCUUUAUAGAAGGUCACCUGAGACAGGGCCAAUAGAGAACACCCCCCCAUGGAGACACAUGUGGCCUUUUGCUCUGCUCAGGCUAUGAAGCUCGCCUCCUGCUGAGUUCGCAUAAUCAAGUCACAGCAGGGGACCCUUAUCUAAUAUUGCAUCUUCAAAAUAAGGAAAGCUCUCUGUGUUUGAAGUUAAUCCUGGAAAAUACCAAAUUACAUAAUAUUGCGGAAAUGGAACAUCUUCUUUUCUUUGAUGAAAAAGGAAAUGAACCAGGGCUUUGGGUGGAUAGAGACUGGAUUUUGCCACCUAGUAAGAGAGACAGACCCUUAUUCUUGGCCCCACCACAGAGAGUAGUACUUGGCCAGUGUACUGUUUAGCAUGAAAACUACUGUCUUCCACCCCUC